AUGCUGCAGGAAGGGGACAGUCCUACCUCGGAUGUCCCUCUUGCUCGCAACACUUCUCACAUCCACAACAGCAAUGCCCUUGAAAAUGAAAAAAGAAAAGGGGUGAAAAAGAGAAGAUACCACUCUCUGGCAGUAGGUGAUGCAGUGGUCAAGGAUAUUGGUUUAAAAGCCAAAGACCCCUGGCUCAGAUCCUCCAUCCUGCUGUACUUACCCUGGACUGAAAAUGUAUAAAUGGGAAAAUCGUGGUAAGUGUUUUGCUGUUGUACAAACCUCACAGUGUAAGUAUCCCUGGACAAAGCCAAGUAGAGGUGAAUAGUCUGAGGUGUUGUUAGCAAGGAUAUCCGGUUCCAUCCACAUCUCAUUAUUUUGCAUCAGCCUCAGAAACAGAGUGGAAGUGUGGAGAACGUCCAGUAGCAGCUGAACAUAAAAUACGCAAGCUAGCAGCAAAUGUGAAGGAGCUCUUCUAUGGCAUGGUGUGGAGGUUACCGCUCAUCUGUCUCCUUAGGUUUGACUGUACAUGCCCAUGUUGAUGGCUCCUCCUGGGAGGCUGCUUUGAGUAGGAGUGCCAUAGCAGCUGUGGAUGAGGAGGAGGCUGAAGGACAGAGACAUACCAGCUUAGUCCAUCCAAAGCAGGGUGUCCUUUAAUGACAUCACCUCACAAAAACAGCAGGGAUCUGUGGUGUGCCCCACAGAAUGACGCACAGCACAUCAGAAGCAUUGUGGGAGAUCCCACUUAUCCCACAAUUAUCCAAACUGGGGAGACAACAGAUGGACCUCCCGAGUAGACAUGGUAAAUACUCCUUUCCAUGCCUCUCUGAACUUCCUGUGGCAGGUGGGCCAUCAAAAGAAGCAAGAAACAACAGUUCCCUGGGUGGCCUAUGUGAACUUUGACUGACAGCACUCAGUGUGUGGACAUUAGUCCCUUCUGUAAAUCCUUGACAAAGUUAGGCACAUGUUGUCAAUGGCGAAACGAGAAAUCUCUUUUGUGCUGCCUGUCACUUCUACACAGUUGAAUCUGCCCAAUGAUUCUAUACCAGCACUAUUCCAG
rnacentral:lncRNA from 1 species